rnacentral:rRNA from 1 species
GGGUGAGAUCAUACCAACACUAACGCAUCGGAUCCCAUUAGAACUCUGUAGUUAAGUGUGCUUAGGUGAGAGUAGUACUAGGAUGGGUGAUCUCCUAGGAAGUCCUCGUGUUGCACUCU